GAUGAAGAACGUAGCGAAAUGCGAUAAGUAAUGUGAAUUGCAGAAUUCAGUGAAUCAUCGAAUCUUUGAACGCACCUUGCGCCCCUUGGUUAUUCCAAAGGGCAUGCCUGUUUGAGUAUCAUGAACACCCCAACUCUUGUGGUUUCCCACAAUGAGCUUGGACUGUGGAGGUUUUGUUGGCCCUGUGGUCAGCUCCUCUCAAAUGGAUCAGCUUACCGGUGUUUGGUGGCAUUACGGGUGUGAUAACUAUCUACGCUCGUGGUCGUCUCCAAAUAACCUCCAGUGAUGGAGGUUCGCUGGAGCUUAUAAAUGUCUCUCCCCAGUGAAGACAGCCUUUGAACGUUCGAUCUCAAAUCAGGUAGGACUACCCGCUGAACUUAAGCAUAUCAUAAGCGGAGGA
rnacentral:misc_RNA from 1 species